UCCAUAGGAAUACAAUCUGGGGAAUAGGAAAUUCAGACUUUGAAGAGGAUGGUUAGGGAAAGCAGCAGCUUUUGGUGUCUGCUACGAGGCAAGGUGUCGAGAGGGGCCGUAUUAACCCCCUGUGAAUGCCUGGCCAAUAAUUAACAUCUUGGAUCCGAGAACUGAUACAAUGAGCUGGGGGAACGGAAUCUUUCUCAACCAGUAAUAGGUCAGAUGGUGCGGUCGGUGGGGCCCGAGGGAUGCGCACAGCUGUCCCUGAGAGGUGCUGCUCUCCCGCCACCGAAGUCGCUGGGAAAUUCUGCUGCACUGACGUGUGAGACAUCUUAAUCUCCGAUGUUCUAAUCCUGCGGGCAAAAAAAAAAAAUUUUAACCAGGUACUGGGCUUUUGUCACGGUGAACCCCACCCGCGUCCCGCGCCCCGCGCCGUCCCUUCAUUUACUUAGGCGAGGUGGCUUGGAUUUGCACCUC